CUCACAUCCUCCAUACAAAUAUUCAAAUUUAUCAUAGAGUUACUCCUAGCGUCAUCUGUUAGUCUUUCUACAUACAUGCAAUUUUUGCCAAAAACAAGAUGGCGAAAAUCACAACCCAUUGAAAUCAAAAAAUAGUUUCAACGGUGUCAACAU